rnacentral:rRNA from 1 species
GACGAACGCUGGCGGCGUGCUUAACACAUGCAAGUCGAACGGAAAGGCCCUGCUUUUGUGGGGUGCUCGAGUGGCGAACGGGUGAGUAACACGUGAGUAACCUGCCCUUGACUUUGGGAUAACUUCAGGAAACUGGGGCUAAUACCGGAUAGGAGCUCCUGCUGCAUGGUGGGGGUUGGAAAGUUUCGGCGGUUGGGGAUGGACUCGCGGCUUAUCAGCUUGUUGGUGGGGUAGUGGCUUACCAAGGCUUUGACGGGUAGCCGGCCUGAGAGGGCGACCGGCCACAUUGGGACUGAGAUACGGCCCAGACUCCUACGGGAGGCAGCAGGGGGGAAUAUUGCACAAUGGGCGGAAGCCUGAUGCAGCAACGCCGCGUGCGGGAUGACGGCCUUCGGGUUGUAAACCGCUUUCGCCUGUGACGAAGCGUGAGUGACGGUAAUGGGUAAAGAAGCACCGGCUAACUACGUG